UUACGACCACAUCACGUUGAAACCCCCGGUUCCCGUACGAUCACCGAAGUUAAGUAAGGUCGAGCCUGAUCAGUACCUAGAUGGGUGACCGUUUGGAAAUACCAGAUGCUGUAAG